CCCUUAGAUGUUCUGGGCCGCACGCGCGCUACACUGAUGCAUUCAACGAGUCUAAAACCUGCUCUGAUAGGGGUGGGUAAUCUUAUGAAUGUGCAUCGUGAUUGGGAUAGAUGAUUGCAAUUUUUCAUCUUCAACGAGGAAUGCCUAGUAAACGCAAGUCAUCAGCUUGCAUUGAUUACGUCCCUGCCCUUUGUACACACCGCCCGUCGCUCCUACCGAUUGAAUGAUCCGAUGAAUAUCAUGGAUUGAGGAUGCAAGUAGGUUAGCCUAUCUUCAUCUUCGAGAAGUGAAGUAAAUCUUAUCAUUUAGAGGAAGGAGAAGUCGUAACA
rnacentral:rRNA from 1 species